AAGCUACGAUUGGUACUCCCCUGUACCUACUUACGAAGCUAUGAUCGGAAAUUUUGAAGGAACUCUCGAAGUCCUCACUGUUUACUUGAUCGACUCUUCCAUCUCCCUCACUGUUUGCGGUCGAUCAAUUCUACCCUGAGAAUCUCAAAGCAUCAGACGAUGAUCCUUCUGUUUAAAGGAAUCAUGAAUUUUGUAGCUUCGAGGUGAAAGUUGUGCGCAAAAAGCUACAGCAGCGCAAAGCUGACAGCGCAAAAAUUCUUACCGGGGUGAAGUUUACAAGAUUGUUGAAAACCAAUUAUUAAAAUAAGAGACGGGUUUCAUGUUGGCAAUGGAAUCAAUUGGAAAGGGUAGGUUUUCUCAAAGAUGCGUAACAACACAGUUACCAAUAGAAUGACAUGUAAACAUGGUUGGUUGGUUGUUGAGUGUGCAAACAGUAGCACAACGGGGGAUUUGGUAAACUGUAGGAUAUAUGGGUAUGGACGCAUUUCGGUUUUGACAGAAGACAGGGUCUUGGUGCCUUUAAGGUAUGCAUGCAAACUCCUUCUUUCUGUUCCUUUCAAUUCCUAGGCUAAAAUAGUUCCUUAGGUAGUUAAACACUUCCAUGGUUGAUCACUGACGUUCUUAUUCAUUAUGACUAGUUUUGUGC